rnacentral:pre_miRNA from 12 species
AGCAAAGAGGUAUGUUGCCCUCUAGGAAAUGUAUGUCACACUGGAGUAAUUAGACUGACAUGCAUUUCCCUGGUGGCAA